rnacentral:rRNA from 1 species
AGAGUUUGAUCCUGGCUCAGGACGAACGCUGGCGGCGCGCCUAACACAUGCAAGUCGAACGAGCGAGAGAGAGCUUGCUUUCUUGAGCGAGUGGCGAACGGGUGAGUAACGCGUGAGGAACCUGCCUCAAAGAGGGGGACAACAGUUGGAAACGACUGCUAAUACCGCAUAAGCCCACGGCUCGGCAUCGAGCAGAGGGAAAAGGAGCAAUCCGCUUUGAGAUGGCCUCGCGUCCGAUUAGCUAGUUGGUGAGGUAACGGCCCACCAAGGCGACGAUCGGUAGCCGGACUGAGAGGUUGAACGGCCACAUUGGGACUGAGACACGGCCCAGACUCCUACGGGAGGCAGCAGUGGGGAAUAUUGCACAAUGGGGGAAACCCUGAUGCAGCGACGCCGCGUGGAGGAAGAAGGUCUUCGGAUUGUAAACUCCUGUUGUUGAGGAAGAUAAUGACGGUACUCAACAAGGAAGUGACGGCUAACUACGUGCCAGCAGCCGCGGUAAAACGUAGGUCACAAGCGUUGUCCGGAAUUACUGGGUGUAAAGGGAGCGCAGGCGGGAAGACAAGUUGGAAGUGAAAUCCAUGGGCUCAACCCAUGAACUGCUUUCAAAACUGUUUUUCUUGAGUAGUGCAGAGGUAGGCGGAAUUCCCGGUGUAGCGGUGGAAUGCGUAGAUAUCGGGAGGAACACCAGUGGCGAAGGCGGCCUACUGGGCACCAACUGACGCUGAGGCUCGAAAGUGUGGGUAGCAAACAGGAUUAGAUACCCUGGUAGUCCACACUGUAAACGAUGAUUACUAGGUGUUGGAGGAUUGACCCCUUCAGUGCCGCAGUUAACACAAUAAGUAAUCCACCUGGGGAGUACGACCGCAAGGUUGAAACUCAAAGGAAUUGACGGGGGCCCGCACAAGCAGUGGAGUAUGUGGUUUAAUUCGACGCAACGCGAAGAACCUUACCAAGUCUUGACAUCCCUUGACGAUGCUGGAAACAGUAUUUCUCUUCGGAGCAAGGAGACAGGUGGUGCAUGGUUGUCGUCAGCUCGUGUCGUGAGAUGUUGGGUUAAGUCCCGCAACGAGCGCAACCCUUAUGGUCAGUUACUACGCAAGAGGACUCUGGCCAGACUGCCGUUGACAAAACGGAGGAAGGUGGGGAUGACGUCAAAUCAUCAUGCCCUUUAUGACUUGGGCUACACACGUACUACAAUGGCGUUAAACAAAGAGAAGCAAGACCGCGAGGUGGAGCAAAACUCAGAAACAACGUCCCAGUUCGGACUGCAGGCUGCAACUCGCCUGCACGAAGUCGGAAUUGCUAGUAAUCGCAGAUCAGCAUGCUGCGGUGAAUACGUUCCCGGGUCUUGUACACACCGCCCGUCA